rnacentral:lncRNA from 1 species
GUCAGUAACUUUGUUUCUUCUUGCUCAGGAGUUAAGACCCAUCGCUUUGAAUGAAAAAUAGAUGCAAACAAUCUUGUGGAAAUAGCAUGGGUUUGGGAGACAUCAGGAGAAUAAAGAUUUAUUCGUGUCCAUGUUCUCACAGAGUCUCCUGAGGUCAACGCUCAGUCCCGCCACGCUUGACCGCAUCAGAAAGAGUUCAUGCUUGGAGGUGGUUCAGAUCGGAUCAUGGCACGGAACAUAACAGUUUCAUUCUUCCAUUGUAGCAGUUGGAGAACUUACCCAUCGUCACAAAAUAUCAACAAAUGUUACAUGGCACAUGCUGUUAUUACUCUGUAUGAGUCGCAACAUAGGAACCACAUUUUUCCAUAGCAAUGACUGCAUGAGAGAUCAUAUAAAUUGUUCAAAAUGAAAAGGGAACUCCCACAC